rnacentral:rRNA from 1 species
GAUGAACGCUAGCUACAGGCUUAACACAUGCAAGUCGAGGGGAAACGACAUCGAAAGCUUGCUUUUGAUGGGCGUCGACCGGCGCACGGGUGAGUAACGCGUAUCCAACCUGCCCACCACUUGGGGAUAACCUUGCGAAAGUAAGACUAAUACCCAAUGACAUCUCUAGAAGACAUCUGAAAGAGAUUAAAGAUUUAUCGGUGAUGGAUGGGGAUGCGUCUGAUUAGCUUGUUGGCGGGGUAACGGCCCGCCAAGGCGACGAUCAGUAGGGGUUCUGAGAGGAAGGUCCCCCACAUUGGAACUGAGACACGGUCCAAACUCCUACGGGAGGCAGCAGUGAGGAAUAUUGGUCAAUGGACGAGAGUCUGUACCAGCCAAGUAGCGUGCAGGAUGACGGCCCUAUGGGUUGUAAACUGCUUUUAUAAGGGAAUAAAGUGAGUCUCGUGAGACUUUUUGCAUGUACCUUAUGAAUAAGGACCGGCUAAUUCCGUG